GCUGGGCAUGGUGGUGCACGCCUGUAGUCCCAGCUACUUGGGAAGCUGAGGCAGGAGAAUCCCUUGAACCCAGGAGGUGGAGGUUGCAGUGAGCCGAGAUCAUACCACUGCAUUCUAGCCUGGGCAACAAAGGGAGAUUCUGUCUAAA
rnacentral:sRNA from 1 species